UAGGGAAUUUUCGUCAAUGGCGCAAGCCUGAACGAGCGAUGCCGCGUGAGUGAAGAAGGCCUUCGGGUCGUAAAGCUCUGUUGCGGGGGAAAAAAGGCAGCAUCAGGAAAUGGGUGCUGACUGAUGGUGCCCCGCCAGAAAGUCACGGCUAACUACGUGCC
rnacentral:rRNA from 1 species